rnacentral:rRNA from 1 species
UACGUAGGGGGCUAGCGUUGUCCGGAAUCAUUGGGCGUAAAGAGCGUGUAGGCGGCUCGGUAAGUCCGCUGUGAAAGUCCAGGGCUCAACCCUGGAAAGCCGGUGGAUACUGCCGGGCUAGAGUCCGGGAGAGGCGAGUGGAAUUCCUGGUGUAGCGGUGGAAUGCGCAGAUAUCAGGAGGAACACCUAAGGCGAAGGCAGCUCGCUGGAACGGUACUGACGCUGAGGCGCGAAAGCGUGGGGAGCAAACAGG